rnacentral:rRNA from 1 species
UACGAAGGGGGCUAGCGUUGCUCGGAAUCACUGGGCGGAAAGCGCACGUAGGCGGGUCUUUAAGUCGGAGGUGAAAUCCUGGAGCUCAACUCCAGAACUGCCUUCGAUACUGAGGAUCUCGAGUCCGGGAGAGGUGAGUGGAACUGCGAGUGUAGAGGUGAAAUUCGUAGAUAUUCGCAAGAACACCAGUGGCGAAGGCGGCUCACUGGCCCGGUACUGACGCUGAGGUGCGAAAGCGUGGGGAUCAAACAGG